rnacentral:tRNA from 1 species
GGGUCGGUAGCUCAGCGGUAGAGCAGUUGCCUCUUAAGCAAUUGGUCCUGGGUUCGAAUCCCAGCCGACCCA